rnacentral:rRNA from 1 species
ACGGGUGAGUAACACGUGGGUAACCUGCCCCUCACUCUGGGAUAACUCCGGGAAACCGGGGCUAAUACCGGAUACGACCUCCUUGGGCAUCCUUGGUGGUGGAAAGUUUUUCGGUGAGGGAUGGACCCGCGGCCUAUCAGCUUGUUGGUGGGGUAAUGGCCUACCAAGGCUUUGACGGGUAGCCGGCCUGAGAGGGCGACCGGCCACACUGGGACUGAGACACGGCCCAGACUCCUACGGGAGGCAGCAGUGGGGAAUAUUGCACAAUGGGCGAAAGCCUGAUGCAGCGACGCCGCGUGAGGGAUGACGGCCUUCGGGUUGUAAACCUCUUUCAGCAGGGACGAAGCGCAAGUGACUGUACCUGCAGAAGAAGCACCGGCUAACUACGUGCCAGCAGCCGCGGUAAUACGUAGGGUGCGAGCGUUGUCCGGAUUUAUUGGGCGUAAAGAGCUUGUAGGCGGCUCGUCGCGUCGGGUGUGAAAACCCGCGGCUUAACCGCGGGCCUGCACCCGAUACGGGCGGGCUAGAGUUCGGCAGGGGAGACUGGAAUUCCUGGUGUAGCGGUGGAAUGCGCAGA